UGAGGAAUAUUGCGCAAUGGGGGAAACCCUGACGCAGCCACGCCGCGUGGAGGAUGACACUGCUCUGCAGCGUAAACUCCUUUUGUAAGGGAAGAACAGCGCGGUCGCCGCGCCUGACGGUACCUUACGAAUAAGCACCGGCUAACUCCGUGCCAGCAGCCGCGGUAAUACGGAGGGUGCAAGCGUUGUCCGGAAUCACUGGGUGUAAAGGGUGUGUAGGCGGGACGGUAAGUCGAGGGUGAAAGCCCGCAGCUUAACUGCGGAACUGCCCUUGAUACUGCCGACCUUGAGUCCCGGAGAGGUGGCUGGAAUUCGUGGUGUAGCGGUGAAAUGCGUAGAUAUCACGAGGAACACCAAAGGCGUAGGCAGGUCACUGGACGGGUACUGACGCUGAGGCACGAAAGUGUGGGGAGCAAACAGGAUUAGAUACCCUGGUAGUCCACACUGUAAGCGAUGGACGCUCGGUGUUGCGGCAUUUUGCUGCAGUGCCUAAGCAAACGCGUUAAGCGUCCCACCUGGGGAGUACGCUCGCAAGAGUGAAACUUAAAGGAAUUGACGGGGUCAUAGCUGUUUCCUG
rnacentral:rRNA from 1 species